rnacentral:sRNA from 1 species
UUUACUGCCCCGAGGGGGCAAAGGGUGAGGCUCACAGCUGUGCUCUUCUUUCAGGCGAAGUGGUGAACACCCAUGGCCCCGUGGAGCCUGACAAGGACAAUAUCCGCCAGGAGCCCUACACCCUGCCCCAGGGCUUCACCUGGGAUGCUUUGGACCUGGGCGAUCGUGGUGUGCUAAAAGAACUGUACACCCUCCUGAAUGAGAACUAUGUGGAAGAUGAUGACAACAUGUUCCGAUUUGAUUAUUCCCCAGAGUUUCUUUUGUGGGCUCUCCGGCCACCCGGCUGGCUCCCCCAGUGGCACUGUGGGGUUCGAGUGGUCUCAAGUCGGAAAUUGGUUGGGUUCAUUAGCGCCAUCCCAGCAAACAUCCAUAUCUAUGACACAGAGAAGAAGAUGGUAGAGAUCAACUUCCUGUGUGUCCACAAGAAGCUGCGUUCCAAGAGGGUGGCUCCAGUUCUGAUCCGAGAGAUCACCAGGCGGGUUCACCUGGAGGGCAUCUUCCAAGCAGUUUACACUGCCGGGGUGGUACUACCAAAGCCCGUUGGCACCUGCAGGUAUUGGCAUCGGUCCCUAAACCCACGGAAGC